rnacentral:rRNA from 1 species
UAACGUUCCCGGGCCUUGUACACACCGCCCGUCACACCACGAAAGUCGGCAACACCCGAAGCCGGUGGCCUAACCCCUUGUGGGAGGGAACCGUCGAAGGUGGGGUUGAUGAUUGGGGUG